GCUCAGUAGCAGACAGGCCUCCAGCCUCCUCGGAACCUGCAUGGCGCAGAGAAAAGCCCCGCGCGGUGGGGGGAGGCGCGUGGCGUGUCCCGGUGUCUGCGGCUCUGAGCUCCCCGCAGUUACAAACAGCUGUGGGACGGUGAGGGGAGGGCUAGCGGUGCAGUCCCAGCCCAGGGUCCAAAGCCCCGUCCCCAGAGUGAGAUGCUGCAGCAGGGAAAUAGUGCGUGGAAGCCCUUCCUUGCAGGCCUGUUCCUACAAAUCCUGCAAUCCACAACCACCUCCUUCACUUCAGCAGAAAGUUUCUUAGUUCACGGUGCCAGUUCUUACGUCGAAAGAGUCCUGUGUCUACACUGGAGGGUGGAAAAAUUCCCUUUUCUGAUGUGGUUUUCCCUUCUUUCUGGAAAAACAACCUUUCUAUGGCCAUAGAUAUCCUGCUGCACAAAGAGGAACAACCAGUACAGCCUAAGAUGGAUACCCUUCUACAAAUGGUUGACGUUUCAACUGUGGUUGGUUUUCUUUGUACCCCUCCAUUGUAGAGGAGUCUGUUUUUUGCUUUCCAUGCUGUCACUUUGCUUCUCAAACCACAGUUGGACCAGGAGAACAAUUCAACAACAGAAGAUUAUUGAGUGUAGCUUUAAGAAACGGAAAGAUUUUCAUAGUUUGUUAAAACAACAUUCACUCAGUUCCAGGCAUCAAGCAGCUUUCAUUUUGUGGUAAAACUACUUGACAAUUAGGAUCAGCAGUUUGAAAAGUGUCGCAGAUCAAUUUGUUUCCAGUCAUCAGGCUGUCAUAGCUGAAAAUUGCCAGCAUAUUGAAACACUCUUACAGGUCUCCAUGCUCUGUGCAAAACAGGGUAUUGCUUUUUGGGGGCAUGAUGAAACACACAAUUCUAGCAAUAAAGAAAAUUUCAUUGGAAUGCUUGAGCUGGUUGCUUCUGCUCAGCCCCAGCCUUUUGAAUCAACUAAGAAGCAGGUAUGGACACGAUACCUCUCACCAGUACCAGAACGACUUGAUACAUUCUGCUGCAGCAGUCCUGAGAGAAAGCGCUGCUGAAGAGGUCAGACAAGCCAAGUAUUUUUCUGUCCGUGUUGAUGAAACUAAAGAUGCAUCAAGAAAAGAACAGCUGUGUCUCCUUUUACGCUGCCAUUGAAAAGGAAUCCUUCAGGAAAGAUCUGUGGGUUGCUUCCACAUGGAAAAUCUAAAUGCUGAAUUUGUUUCAAAAAGGAUUAUUGAAGAGCUACAGCAUUUGAAGCUUGAUAUUAAUUACAUCGUUGCCCAGUGCCCUGAUGCAGCUUCUCUGCUGAGUGGGCAUUUAACAGAUGUACAAGCUCGCACUCAGGAAAGGAUUACAUAUGCCAUUUAUGUGCACUGUCAUGCUCACAGGCUUAAUCUUGUCAUUGCAGGCACAUGUUCCAGCAUCACCCAAUGUCAGGAAGUCUUUGCGUUUGCUCAGGACCUGUACAUCUUCUUUAGCAGUAGUUGCAGGCACCAUGAACUGUUUGUUAAGGCACAGCAGGAGCUAGGCCAGAAGGUGCUUGAGCUAGGUAGAUUAUGUGAAACUCGCUCGUGCUGGUUUGACUCCCUCCAAAAACUGCAUGCAAGAUGGAAACAUGGGAGCCAUUUCAGUUCAGAGAGCUGAUGGCCCAGCGGCUAGCACUGGCGAGGGUUUGAUGGCAAGGCUAAAGUGCUAUUCCUGUCUGUUGAGGCUCUUGGUUUCGAGAAGAAUAUUCAAAAUCUUGAAUAAUAUUUCAGAAUUACAAAAUGAAAACCUGAAUUUAUCUAAUCCCAUGAAUUAGUAGCAAUCAAUGUUGCUGCUCUUCAAGAAAUGAGAACAUCUGAAAGCUAAUGGAAGGAGCUAUGUGAUGAAGCUGAAAUCAUUGCCAAGGAAUUUGAAAUGGCUAUUCCGGGUCAGGCAGUCGCAACUGCUGAGCACAGCAGUACAAAAACGGCAAUAAGACCUAAAAAAAAUAACUUCCAAGCUGGCCUUGUUUUUUGUUUUUAGUACACUGGGUCAGUCAUCUCCACAUGAUGUUCCCAAGAGCACUCAUGAAUCUAUAAAAUCUGAUUUUUACUAUCCUGUUUUGGACAGUAUUCUUGCAGAGCUCGAUAGACGAUGCACCUUCAACUCCAGUUUGCUUUCUGUACUAACUGUGUGUGACCCAAAGAGUGAAAAUUUUCUUGCAUAUGAGAAACUGAAAAUAAUUGCAGAUCACUAUGGAUCAACAGGCACCGAUUUUUGACAGUCUGGAUGCAGAAGUCGAAGUUGCUGAGAAGCACAUUGCAUAGGGUGACCAGACAGCAAGUGUGAAAAAUCGGGACAGAGGGUGGGGGGUAAUAGGCACCCAUGUAAGAAAAAGCCCCAAAUAUCGGGACCGUCCCUAUAAAAUCGGGACAUCUGGUCACCUUAACAUUGCACCAAAAAAUUGACUUCAAUUUCUGAAUUCUGGAUGUUCUCAAGGACUUACCAAGGGCUUUCCAGUCUUUGCUGUCUAUUGUAGAUAUUGUGUUGAGCCUUCUAGUGUCUGCAACAUCAAAAGGAGAGGUAUUUCUCUGUGCUCAGAGAGUAAAGAACUACUUAGGAUCCACAGUGGGAGACAAGCGCUUAGAUGACUUGGUAAUUUUAGCCUGCGAACGUGAAGCUUCAGAACACCUGGAUAUCAACAAGGCCAUUGACCAUUUUGCCAAGAUGAGAAGACGGCGUUAUCUAUUGUGUUAGCUCCUAUCUGGAGUGUUUUGUUUUCAAUAAUUUAUUUACCUGUAAAGAAAUUAACUGUCUCAUUCACCUCUUCACAAAUUGGAAUAUAAGACAUUUAAAAAACAACAAUUGCAGGGGUAAACAGCUUUUAUUUUUAUUCAUUUAUCUCUACUAAAGAGAGUGUACAAAGUAUCAAACUUGUUUCUGAUAUCUGUGUUAAAGCUCCAAAACUGAUACCUCAGAGUGUGGGAUUGGGAAUAUCUUGCUGUGUUAUGUUCCUAUUGCUCUAAAUUUACAUGUACAUUUAAAAUAUGGUUAUAACUGAUUUUUGUUAAUUCCCCCCCCCCCCCUUCUUUAUAUAGGAAUUAGAUACAGUGCUCCUGUCAUUUAAUUUCUAAGUUAUCUGCAGGGAAAAAAAGCAACCCUAGCGUUUUCAGGUGCCUAAGUAGCCUCUGGAAUCAUGAUUAAAGUUGCCCCCCCCACACACACACACACCUCUCACUGGGCCCCUCUGUCCCCAACCAGCAGAGUGGACCUUGUGGCACUGAUCUUGACACCGUGGGGUCACUGUGCGUUGCCCGGCCUUCCUGGGGCUAUAGAGCGACCCAUCACUGACACGUGGCCGCAUCAGAGACACUCUCAGGGAAGCUGGGGGUUUGGGUGCUGUGAUGGGGUGCCCGGGGUGCAGCCUGGACUGUGGGACUGCUGAGCUCUCCAAAACCCACCAGCUUGGGGUAUCCCCAACAUUGUGAUGCUGAUGUCAAGCUACAAACCUGAUAGGCAUUGCACUUAACCAGACAUCCACAGGCAAGGACCCACCCAACUGAGUUACAUGAAUGAUUUCCUAGCCACUCAUGAACCAUCAAUAGAAGGCUCCAGCCAGUUCCCUCCAGCUCCAGCCCUGCACCCCAGAAUUGUUCCGUCUUGCACUGGUCAGAAGCCUGAGCAGUGUAAAAUUAAUUUCUUAGUUUGCUACUUCUUCAUAGGAAAGUGGACAUGCACCAGCCUUUGUAACCUGAGCAGAUUUCUCAAGCACUUUAGACAAAUUCACUGGUAAGGAUAAAACAUUAAAAUAAGUUUAACUACAGAAAGAUUGAUUUAUAAGUGAUUAUACUGGUAGGCAUAAAGGUCAGACAGAGUUACCUUAAGAAAGGGGGAAGGGAAAAGAUGAUGUCAUUGUCUCUCUCAAAAGAUCUUUGUUCUGAUGUGGGUUAGUCUGUCCCCACGGUGUACAUACCUUCUCAGAGAAGUGUCUGGGAUAAUGGAAUGGCGUUGGUGAGCCAUUAAUGCUGUCUGGCUAUUGGUGGCCACUCCCUUGUUGUAACUGAAAGGUUGGUUGUGGGUGUGCCCAACCUCACAACAUAUUUCAGUAACACAUCUAGCAAUACUUCACAUACAAUGAGAGCACAUACACUCCAGCAGCACAUUAAUGUUCAACAGAUCAAGACUGUUAAAAUCAGGGCUGUCAAAGUCCCGGCCUGAGAACCUCCCCACUGCAGCCUGCGGAGGAGAGACGCAUGCAGACACACGGCCAGUCCCCACAGCUCCCAUUGGCUGGAGGAGAGGGACAGAGAUACCAUCACUAGUUGCUGGUCAGAGUCAGCUGUGGAGACAGCAUCAUUAGUUGCCAGGCAGAGUCAGCCAUGGAGGCAGCAUCACUUUUUUCUAUAAUGAAUAUAAACAAGUCUAAAUACCGAACACAAUAAUCUGAUGCACACCUUACUGCAAUCCUGAAUGUUUCAACUGCUCAGUCACUGAGGCCAAACAUCAACAAACUGACAGAACUGAAGCGUUGCCAGGUGUCUGGCAAACACUAAAAACUCUGACAGGCGAAGAAUUGUAUAAAGUUGUUUGACAAUUUUAUUAUUUCUA